AUUGAACGCUGGCGGCAGGCCUAACACAUGCAAGUCGAACGAGUGGCGGACGGGUGAGUAAUGUCUGGGAAACUGCCUGAUGGAGGGGGAUAAAUACUGGAAACGGUAGCUAAUACCGCAUACCAUCGGUGGUGACCAGAUGGGAUGAGCUAGUAGGCGGGGUAAAGGCUCACCUAGGCGAAGAUCCCUAGCUGGUCUGAGUGGAUGACCGGCCAACCUGGAACUGAGCCACGGUCCAGACUCCUACGGGAGGCAGCAGUGGGGAAUAUUGGACAAUGGGCGAAAGCCUGAUCCAGCCAUGCCUGUUGUGUGAAGAAGGUCUUCGGAUUUUAAAGCACUUUAAGUUGGGAGGCGUUACCAACAGAAUAAGCACCGGCUAACUUCGUGCCAGCCGCCGCGGUAAUAC
rnacentral:rRNA from 1 species